rnacentral:lncRNA from 1 species
UAAAACUGAUAUAAAAAUAUUAUAUUAUAAAACUGAGGGCGGGGGCCAGGUAAAUGACCUUGGAGGGCCGCAUCCGGCCCCCGGGCCUUAGUUUGGGGACCCCUGACAUAUGGUAUAUGAGAGAACAUGAAGCUUCUUUACAGUAAAGGACACAAGGUGCUUAGGAACAUAGAAUGAUUGUCUUAACUGAGUCAGAUCAUUGCUCCAUAUAAUAUUAUGCUGCCGAUUUUGACUGGCAGUGGUUCUCUAGAUUUUCAGAUUGAUUUUUCCCCCCUCAGUCAUCCAUGGAGAUCCCUAAUAUUCCCUGGUGGUUACCCAUUCAAGUACAAAUCAGCUCUGGUCUGAUUCUGAAAUGAGAUGCUAUUGGGUGUAAUUAGGAGAUGUUUCAAUGUUUUUAAUAGAGAGAGUAGCCGUUGGUCAUCAUUCCCUUUAUUAAAUGUAGUGCAAAAUUAAUUUCAUGGUUUCAUUUGUCAUAUUUCAGCGACCUGCAUAACACAGAAAGUUGGGAGAGCAUGGUUUUCAUUCAGCCUACACAGAAGCAGAGAGAAACUUGGCUCAUGCUAAAGCCAGUAAAAAGAAAAUCCUGUUCCCCCUCGUUUGUCCUCAAUGCUCUAGAACUUGAGCCUAGAUGGAAAACUUCUGAAUGUCAGAAUGAACUUCAAGAGAGAAGGAAAACAAGUCAAACUUUGCAAGCCGAAUUCAAGACGGCUUUAGUAGCAUCUAUCUUUAGCUGCGAUAGUGAGUCACAUCAUUGUGAUCUGACUGCAUGGCUAGGCUGAGGUAAUAUGCAGGCCAGGGGAUGGAGACAAAGCAUGAUGGGAUUAAAGCUGUAAAAUUCCACUACUCUCCCUUUCGGGUUACAGAGACUUAAGAGGCUGUGGGUAUUUUUCCGCCAAGGGAUAAUUACAGAGCUCUAAAAGGCACGGAGGCAGAUUUCAUGCUCCAAGGUGUUAUAAAGAAAAAGGAAUCACAUCCAAAAGAUAUCCAGGUUUCUUUGGUUAACAUGUGAGAGUUUCUAUGUCUCUCAGUGUGCAAAAUGUCACAUCCAGCUAGCCCUACCAGCUACUCCAAGCUGAUGCUGGAUUCCCUUGGAUGAUGCCCUGAUGCUUAGCAACAUUGCUAGGCAGCAGGCCAUACAUGAUGCAUAGCGCUGGUGACUGUGUUGUGUGGGGCCAAUUCCUAUUAUUGUCCGUUAAGCUGUAAAAUAUUAAUUUGCUGUUUGCAAAUAAAAACUGUGCCAAGAGGUUAUGAGCCUACGUCUCUUAAUGUUCCCCUCCCUCCCUUCUUCAAUGGCUGACAGCUCACAGUGGAAACUAUGGGCAGCCCCAGGUGAAAUUUAGCCUGAUAUAUGUAAAACAUGGGUGGAAUUCAUGAGAUACAAAUACUUCUCAUGCCUUGGGUAAAAGGCUGACAAGUGCAAACACUUCUCAAGGUGACAUUGUGCAAAUUAUGUGGCAUUUAUGUGCAGGCACUCCAGUGGAUGAGGGAAGAAGUCAUCCUGUUUUGCCCAAUUGCAUAAACACUAGGAUGUGGGGAGCAAUUCAGAGUGAAGAUCCUUUAAGAAUGUGCGAAUCUACUUUCAGAGAACUCUUUAGAUACAUUGAGAUGUUGGUUACACACAUUGGCUCUGCCCCCCAGCAUGCAUGAUUCACAUAGAAGCGGUCUCACUAAAAAUCUUUUUGGGGAGCAUCAGAUGGAGAGCAGAAUUCUGAAAGCACGCAAAACCGUACGUCAUUGCUUGUCAAAAGCCCUGCAUGCUGUUGAGUGUACAUUCUGGUGAUCAUGUGCCCUCUGUUUAGAGGUGGUUGGAGGAUGAGUUCGUUUGAAGUCAUCUUGUAUCUGAAAGGCUGUUCAGUCUAAGGCUGACUCUGCAUCAGGGUUGUAUCCCAAAUCACCUUUCACUUACACCUGUACCAAUCCAGACUAAAAUCAGCUUGACGUUGUAUAGAACCCCCAUUGUGUAUCCACAUUGAUGCAAAGGGAUAUUCCUUCUAUGUGUACAUGUCCACUGCAGAGGAUUGGUUUCAGCUGCCACCAAAAAUAUAGAGGACUCGAGGUGUGCUAGACAGAUCCCCACCCACUGACAGCAAUAUAUGGAGGAUUCAAACUUGUUACCACUACUAACACUGCCACCAAUGUUAUAUUCAGGGGCCUCCUCUGUGUUAGGAUAUUUAGAGAGUCACAUGAGUUGUUGUUUAUUUGUAUUUUAACAGUAAAGAUGUGUAAUGGUUUCAAUAACAAGUCAGGAUUAACUCUUAUAAAGAAUGGUUUUAUAACUUGAAUUCUGUGGAAAUAUGUUCCUUCACACAGGAAAUACAAACACGACUAUUUAAACCUUUAAAUCCACUUCUCCUGGAAUUUAACACCAGCACUCUAAACUAUAGAGUCUCAAUAUAGUUCUCAGCCUUUCUUCUCUGAAAGCUUUAACCAUAUUCCUCAAGGAGGUUUCUUUUUUAAAGCACAGUUUCCAAACUUAUCUCUGUCUUCACACUUUAAAAACCUACCCCCAACUGAAAAGAAUUGCUUGGCUGCAUAGCUCCAACUGUCACUUUGGCUUCGCCUAUCUCCAGUUGCUAAUCAACUCUCCUCAUUUACAUCAGCCAAUCAGACUGCACUUCAAUAAUGGCUGCCUGAUCGUUCCUCCCCCUUGCUCUGCUUAGCUUUUGCAAGCAAGGCCUGAAAACUAUCUAUACACCAACUUUGUAAGGUAGGCUAAUCCAUUACAUCCACUAUAUUGGUUGAUGUCCAGUCACAUGACCUCAACAGCUGUGUUUUUAAAUAAAUCCUGCCACAAAAGCAUAGAGUUGCUUAAUCAAAUAGCUUUUGUUUUCCCAUUAUUCCGCUUGCCCACCUGCAAUUCAAUAAAGUGAAGCCUGUAAAGCUGGUGGAGGUGAAAUGCCAACCUUUGUAUGUAAGCAAUUGUGAAUAUGGGAAGGCAAUACUACCUUUUCCACUUGCUGAUCCAUAUAAGGGAGCUACCGUUCUGUGGUAAGAGCAAUCAAGUGGCCAUCCACCGAUCUAGUUGCUCUUAAGCACUCCUGAUUGCACCACAACCCCCCAUUUGGUGCUCAAAGCACACUUUCAAAACAAAGGGUUCUUCCCCAAACAAGCAGGUUGUUAAAAUCAUCUUAAGCCCCCAGGCAUUGAAAACAAUUGGAACAAGAGAAAUGCCACAUGUUCCAGGAGGACUAAGAUUGAGGUACGGAGGCAUAAUUUAUCCUGUGUAUGUUCUGCCCAGGUCCAGUUUCAUCUUAAGGCAUCUGAAAGGAGAGAACAGUGAACAUAAACCUGGCGAACAACCAUUACUACUUGGAGUACAGAUUGAGCAAGCACACAAGUUACCAGUAUGGGACGGACCAGAAUCAUCUUAACUCUAUCAUUCCAAGUUGCCUUGCUACCUAGUGUGACACACUGUACAUUUAAAUGAUGCAAAAUGUUUCUGAAUUUGAAACUAGAUGUGUAAGUGUCCAUAUGUAUAUCUUAUUGAAUUCUGCAUGGCCUUUUGUCACCUCGCUCUCAGGCCCCUUCCACACAGCUGAAUAAAAUCCCACAUUAUCUGCAUUGAACUGGAAAAUAUGGCAUGUGCACUCAGAUAACCCAGUUCAAAGCAGAUAUUGUGGGAUUUUCUGCCUUGAUAUUCUGGAUUAUAUGACUGUGUGGAAGGGCCCUCAUUCUCCCUUUUUUAAGAUAGUCACUUGAGGUUAGGGACUGUUCUAUAAGUCAUUUAAUCAAAUAGAAAUAUAAAUUUUAGAUUUAUAUCCAGUCCAAUCUGAGGGUUCAGGAAAGGUUACAGGAUUACAUGAUUUUCCUGUUGCAAGGGAUUAUAAUUCUAAUUGUAUUGCUGUGUGCUCUCUACUUCUGACCAAUGAGAACUUCGAGAGGCAGCGGUACGGGAUUUAAUUUUCUUUGGGGAAGAUUACGCUGGAGACUUCUGAUAUCUUUGUAAUGUGUGCUUCAGUUACAAGUAGACCAUAAACGGAGACCAAUGCAAUCCUAUAAACAGUAUAAUCUACAUCAGAUUUCUCAAAAAUAACCUGUGUGAUCUCUUCAAUAUUACAUUCCUGAUUCUGGCUAACUGAUGCUACAAAAUUCUCAGCGCUCUCUUUUAAACUCAUAAACAGCCAUCCGGGCCUUCAUUCCCGAUUUUCUUGCAAUAAAUAUGAACAGCAAAGAUAAAUGCAGUAAUUUACAACAAAAC